rnacentral:rRNA from 1 species
GAUGAACGCUAGCUACAGGCUUAACACAUGCAAGUCGAGGGGAAACGACAUCGAAAGCUUGCUUUUGAUGGGCGUCGACCGGCGCACGGGUGAGUAACGCGUAUCCAACCUGCCCAUCACUUGGGAAUAACCUUGCGAAAGUAAGACUAAUACCCAAUGACAUCCCACGAAGACAUCUGAAUGGGAUUAAAGAUUUAUCGGUGAUGGAUGGGGAUGCGUCUGAUUAGCUUGUUGGCGGGGUAACGGCCCACCAAGGCAACGAUCAGUAGGGGUUCUGAGAGGAAGGUCCCCCACAUUGGAACUGAGACACGGUCCAAACUCCUACGGGAGGCGGCAGUGAGGAAUAUUGGUCAAUGGGCGAGAGCCUGAACCAGCCAAGUAGCGUGCAGGAUGACGGCCCUAUGGGUUGUAAACUGCUUUUAGAAGGGAAUAAAGUGGGUCUCGUGAGACUUUUUGCAUGUACCUUAUGAAUAAGGACCGGCUAAUUCCGUG